rnacentral:lncRNA from 1 species
GCAAGUGCAUCAUUUAAUAUAACAGCAAGUGCAUCAUUUAAUAUAACGUAUGAUCCAGAAUUUAUAAAAUAUAACAAUCUGCAUAGCACUUAGCUAGCUUUAUUCUAGUAAACAGCGGAAAAGUAGCAGAAUAAUAACGAUGAGUCCCAUCAUAGCCCACUGGCGAUGUUGAGUGAAGACUCGCGACCCUAACGGUACCUUACUCCUCGUCUGAAUAUCCUGCAACAUGAUACGUUGUAGCCAUAUAGGUCAAUACUUUGAAUGUAUUGGCAAGUUACACAAGAAAAGAUAAUAUAACAGACCUACAUGUAUAUGCAUAGUAUAACAAAAGAAAGGCUGACGGUUAUUUUGCAGAAAGCUGACUUUAUCCUCAUAGCUACCUAAUAGUCAAGUUUUAAAUUUGUUUGCUACAAUAACUUAUAUAUGGUUGAAUUGGCAUCUCCAACUCCAACCUAUUACCAUUAUUAAGUUCCCCAUCAAGUUUUAUUAAGUGUGUCAUCUGUCAAGAUCAUCCAACAACUGUAAUGGCCUAGCUGCUCAAAAUUGUCCAUAACCGGGGACACGGCUAAUCAUGAUUAGUUUAUACACUCUGCAGAGGUUAGUACGCUGUACCCACUGGACCCAACCCGAAGAUUGAGACGAAGUCUUUCAGAAGCAGUCACCUAGUCCCACAGGAGGCCCAUCCCACCUAUCAUAGCUACAUCAGCUGGCACAUCCGGGUAAGGUUUCCACGACUGAUCAACUAAGCCAGAGCCCAUAAUAGCCAGUGGUCGCACAAGGAAGCUACUAGUCACUAAGUCUGUCUGAUCUUUUUGAACCUGGGCGGCAUUCCACUUACAUUCAGAGGGUAGAAACCAUGAUGUUCUUGAAACCACCCAGCAAUACCAUAUCCGCCCAGAGGUGUAUUAUAUCCUGAAUUACUACUCAAAUUUAUUUUGUAGUAAUCCUCACAUAAUCUCAAUGAAUACAGGAACCAAUCCCCGUCUACAUAGCAUAGCAAAAUAUAUCUAGCACGAUCUUUCAAUGACGAGGGGAUAUAGCUCAAUAGCAUAGCAAUAAUAAUCUUCCUAUACAUGCAUAAUUUUCAUAGGGUGAUAUAAUACUACAUGCAUAGAAAAAUAAUAGGUAAAGGAUGAUCAACAUGUAACUUGCCUUGAUUCUGGUUCAGAAGGUCACACUCCUGACAAUAGUUUGCGUCGCACUCCGCACAAUCUACACGUUGCAAACAAUCACACCAAUCAAUCACCACAAUCAAAUAACACAAAAUAAAAUCAUCGGCAAUAAAACAACUUGUUUAAAACCAAAGCAUAAAUAGCAUGGCAGCAGAUAAAAUCAUCUACAUGCUGAUACGAUGACAACGCAAAAAGAAUCAACUAAACCAGAUGAACAGUUUGCAAAAUAUGGCCUCCGGUAGGUUAAAAUAAUCUGUUUUAACAAAAAAAUUAAUUUUCGUAAAACUGAAAACUACUGGUUCUAACAUGUUCUACUCAUCAAUACGAGAUCACAGGAAAAAUAAUUUCCUGAAUCGGAGUUACGAGUAAAAAGAUAAACGCGUUUCAAAAUUAUACCGAGAAUCUGACAGAGCUAAAACAGAUUAAAAACAGAUUGAAUUUCGCCCAGAAGUUGUUCAUCAGGACUUGAUGAAACGGCUCGUGCGUGCGUUCUCACCACGAACAGCGGGGAAAAACGGAACCGUCUCGGUGUGGCUCCUCCGAUGAUGCUCCGGUGGUGGUCGAACGGACUCCGGUGACGGCGGCUCCGCGAACUCCGACGAACACGGACGAACUUGGACGUGCACGGCGUGUUCUUGCGAAGCUCGAUGCUGCUGUGCGUGCGAGGCGGCGGCGCUUUGCGAAUCGGAAGCAAGGGCUUCUGAGUCUGGGGCUUUAUCGCGAGGAAACCUGGGGCGAGUCGGUUUGGGAAAAGGAGCAGCCUCCUAGUCCGCCUCGGGAUAGGAACUAGGAGUCCUUGGCGAAUCUUGGGCAGGAGAAAACAAAAGAAAA